UACGUAGGGUCCGAGCGUUGUCCGGAAUUACUGGGCGUAAAGAGCUCGUAGGUGGUUUGUCACGUUGUUCGUGAAAACCCACAGCUCAACUGUGGGCGUGCGAGCGGAUACGGGCAGACUAGAGUACUGCAGGGGAGACUGGAAUUCCUGGUGUAGCGGUGGAAUGCGCAGAUAUCAGGAGGAACACCGGUGGCGAAGGCGGGUCUCUGGGCAGUAACUGACGCUGAGGAGCGAAAGCGUGGGGAGCGAACAGG
rnacentral:rRNA from 1 species